AACCAAGUUUGAGGGUAAAGGGCUUUUUGGCCAAUUUGGUUCGAAUCACUGGCCUUGAUCUCUUUGUCAUCCGAAACCGAAAUAGAUCUCAAACUAAUGAUCUAUAUGCCCUCCUUAUUGUAAGAGCGAUCCUUGAGAGGGUGCUCGAAGAUGGAUCUCUGAUGAUGGUGGAUGAAGAGAUCUCCACUGCCCUAGAUUUCUAGGUUGUUGUCAAACCUUAAUCUCAGGACCAUGCCAAGGUAAUUGGAGCCCAUGUUUUCAAUCAGUCCCAUCGAGAGCAUGGAUGUCGGCAUGGUCUAGGGUUUCAGCAUGGCCACAGGGAGAGAGGGAGU
rnacentral:lncRNA from 1 species